AUAGACGGCCAUAGUGGACUGGUACACCCGUUCUCAUUUCGAACACGGAAGUUAAGAAGUCUUACGUUGUGGAUUGUACUGUACUAAUGUACGGGAACUCCAUGAAGCUGUCCCUU
rfam:Archaeon D22 isolate D22 NODE_8_length_24311_cov_210.046, whole genome shotgun sequence.